rnacentral:lncRNA from 1 species
UGCUUGUUGGAUUACCUUCAAGUUUGGAAAGGUCGGAUAUUUUUUAGAUUCCACAAUACAUGCUUGCAUAAAAUCCCCACUGAGAUUCCUUUCCAAAUGCCACUCCUUGAUUAAUGCCUCUGUGGUCACAAAGACUUCCAUUUUUCUGCAUUUCCUAUCUGAGUUUUCUCUCUACUCUCUUUCUUUCUCCUUCAUCGUGGUGGUGCUGAUUUUCAGAUCAACUUUGGUGGAUGUCGAAGAGAAGAAGAAAAAAGGUUGGUGCGGGUGGAGGAAAGGGAAGGCCCGCAUCCAUAGGCCAUUUUUUUUAUUUGUUUAGUUUUUUAAUUUUUAAUUUUUUUUUAAUUUUUUUAAACUUUAAUUUUUUAAUAUUUAUGUGGGACUAUAUUGACACAUGGCGCUUAGUCAUUGUUCACGUGGGUGCCACAUCAUCAGUUAACGACUGACUUAACAGCCAACUUAAUGGAUGUAUGAAACUAUCCCAAAAUUAAGACUUGAGGUAUGACUCUGGGAUGAAAAAACUUCAUGUACCAAAUGUUGAAAACAACGAAACUUCAGGGUAGUAAACUGAGAUGAACUCUUUAUGAUUUGUUUAUUUAACUAUUCUUUCAAUUUUUUUUGGAACAAACUAAGUAAUAAUAUUACAAGAUCAAAAAUAAAGAAAAUUUUCAUUAUUCAGUUUUAUGAACAUCAAUACUGUCACUAUUUCUUAAAUAGAACAUUGACUACUUCUUAAACCGAACACUAUUUCUUAAACUAAACAUUGACUACUUCUUAAACUGAACAAUAUUUCUUAAACUAAAUACUGAUUAUAUCUUAAAUGGAACACUAAUACUAUCACUACUUCUUAAACUGAACACUGACUAUUUCGUAAACUGAACACUGACUAUUUUUUAAACUUAAUGCUAGUACUAUUACUAUUUUGUAAACUAAACAUUAAUUAUUUCUUAAACCGAACACCUUGUAAACUAAAUACUGAUUAUUUCUUAAACCAAACACUAGUACUAUCACUAUUUUGUAAACUAAAUAGACUAUUUAUUAAACCAAGUAAUAGUACUAUCACUAUUUCAUAAACUAAGUAUUAACUAUUUCUUAAGCCAAACACUAGUAUUAUCACUAUUUCGUAAACUAGUAUUGUCACUAUUUCGUAAACUAAACACUGACUAUUUCUUAAAAUCGAACCAUAGCACUAUCACUGUUUUUUAAACUAAACACUGGUUAUUUUAUAAAUUGAACACUAAAAGGUUCAAAAUUUGAAGUUCUCUUCUCAUUAUCAUAUGAAUCACUGACAAUAAUAUUUAUAUUCUUACAGAGUUAGAAUAAUGAUUUUUGUUGUAUUCUUUCCUAGUGCAAAAAUAUUGUUAGUAUAAUGGCACAAGUAAGGGUGUUGAACCAUAGGGACUAAUUAGACCUCUACAAUUACUAGCUUUAUGUGAACCCUAAAGAAAAUGCAAAUGAAAACUGAAUUUAGAGUUUUGUUUUGAAAGCUAAAGUAACUUAAAAUGCUAGACAAGAUAAGGAUGAAUGAUAGAUUGAUUCAGAAACGAUGGGAAUGGAACUAGGAAUAUCGAUUUCACCGUUACAAGCCAAUUCAAUGAAAAUUAAGUCAACAUGUAUUCAACUCUCCAAUCUACAACUAGGGUUCGUUUUACUUAUUUAUGAUCAUCCAUUUGAUGUGUGGUUGUGAUCAAGUACUCCUAAUCCGCAACCUAGUUGUGAUAUUCAACUUAGAUUACCAAAUAAGAAUCCAUUAAGAACAAGAAAACUUCAAAGAACCAAAGAAAUCAAAUGGCAGGAUGUAUGCAUAGCAGUUUCUUCAUUCAUUCACAUGUCCACCAAGAUUAAACAUGAUGUGUACUAUAACCUUGAUCAAAUAAUUCAUAAACAGCCCUAAUGGUGAUCAAUCAUUAAGAUUAACAAACAAAUUAUACUAUACAAUCAAUGAAUGAAACAAGAACACAGAUUGGUAAUUUGAAUACUUUAACUUAAUAACAUAGAGUAGGUUUGCAAGGCUACAUCGAAAUUCCCAGCUAUGAACUUAAUUACACAACAUGAUUACAGAAUAUAUAAAUUUCAAGAACAACAUGAGUGAAAUUAAAGUUCAUAGAAGAAAAUCCCUUUGAAGCAAUUCUGAUGUUGAACUUAUCCAAGAACAGCGCGGCUGCAUGGUUUCUUUGGUGGCUGCGGAUGGUGAAUGGAGAAAGGAUUUUGUUUCUGGAAGAAAGGGUAAAGAAAGAGAAGACAGAGAGUUCUAGGCAACCCCAAGGGGGAAACUUAUGUAAAAGUGGCUGAAACUCUCUGUUUUAUAAGGUUAAAGAGGCUGUUAUAGAAUGCCAAGACAUCCCAGUAAUGGAGCAUUUAUUUCUGACAUUUUUUUAUGUUAUUGGUCUCUUAAAAAGGCCAUAUUCAUCACCAUAUUCAAUUGUACACUUUGAAUCUCUCUACAUCAGAAUCCUUAUUCAAUUAUCCUCUUUCAGCACCAUUUUGCCUUAUUUACCCUCAAAUGGCUCUAAAAUACAAUUAACUGCACAUUAACACAAAAGAAAGUAAAACGCAACCAGUUUAACUCAAAAAUAUAUGAGUUAUCAAUUUUCACAUUCGUAUUUGUUUUUAACGUUUCUUCAAACAAUUUAUUUGACUUUCCUUUAAUUUAUUCAAUAAAAAAUUAACAACAAAAGCAUAAAUGAAUAAGUUUUUGUUUUUUUUUUCUUUUUUAUCUCUUGUCUUUAUCAUUAAAUAAAGCUAUUAGGUGACUUUUGGUUAAAUGAAGUCAUUGUCAUUAGUUUUCCUUUAAUUUUAUAUGCAUGUUUUCUUAGAUUUAUUCUUGUACAGAUUUUAUACCUAGAGAUUUGGACAGUUAUGGCUCAAUGAUCUCCUCCAUUGCAAUUGAGUGAACAGCUCCAUUGCAAUUGCUGUCAAUGGCGUACUGAAAGAAAAAAAAAACAUAGGAAAAAAAAAAUGAGUACCAAACUAUAAAAUUAACAAGCAAUUUGUGACCCAGAAAGCUCAAAAUUAACAAUGAUGGUAAUUACUAACGGUAAGUUUUUCAUUAAGGGAGAGUCUUGAAUUCCUUAUCUGAUUGCUGUUAAUCACUAUCAUUGUAAAGUUUUAUUAAUAAAUAAAAAAUUAUAAAAUUAUAAAAAAAAAAAACUAAACUGAACCAAAGAUAAACCAAAAAAAAAUCGAAUCGAACCGGACCGAAAUUUUGGUUCGGUUUUCAAUUUCCGUGAAAAACCAAACCUAUUGAAACUGAACCCACCCGUAUUUGCACCUUUUAUAGUAACGUUUUAUGUACUUCAUUUAAGUUUGCAUCUAAUAAAGUUAUUAUGUGACUUUUGGUUAAAACUCAAAGUUUUGAAGUUAUUUUCAUUAGUUUUCUUUUAAUUUUAUGUGCAUGUUUUCUUGGAUUUAUUCUUGUAUAGUUUUUAUACCUAUAGAUUUGGACAGUUAUGGCUCAAUGAUCUCCUCCAUUGCAAUUGAGUGAACAGCUCCAUUGCAAUUGCUGUUAAUGGCGUACUGAAAAAAAAAUAGAGGAAGUUGAAAAAAAAAAAAAAGUACCUAACUAUAAAAUUAACAAGCAAUUUGUGACCCAAAAAGCUCAAAAUUAGCAAUGAUGGUAAUUACUAAUGGUAAGUUUUUCAUUAGGGCAGAGUCUUGCGUUCCUUAUUUGAUUGUCGUUAAUUGCUAUUGACACACCCCGACCCAGAGAAUCAAGGCGUGUUGGCCGUCACGUGAGCGUGACGUAACCAAGAGUGCGACACGGAAGCAAGAUAUAACAGAAAAUGAAGGAAUUCAAAUCAAUCUCUAGUAGAACCACCUACUAGAAUAAAAGGAUGAGUUAUAAGGUAACACAUAAAUUCAGAGCAUAGGUUUAAGUGCAGUCAAGUAGGACCCAAAAUAAAAUACAUCACCCGCAGGUGAGUCCUACAUGCAGAACGUCUGUCAGAAUGCCGAAAAAGACCUCGAGAGCCACCAACCGCUAACUAGAACCUGGAGGGGCGCAAAACAAAGAUGAGUGGGUCAGUAAAAUCAAAGAUUUUCCAAAACAUUUCAUUUAAAACAUUUCUAACCUCUCACCGUAAAACCUGUAUACUUUCCCAGAAAAAUAGUAUAUAAACAUAUAUAUACACAUAUCAUCAAAACUCAGCUCAUCUCCAUCAACAUAACAUCUCAGAAAUAAUAUGCCACGCCAUGCCAAAUAUAAUCAGAAAUGCAUCAAUAUCAAUCAGGUGAAAUAAUAAAUCAACCGGAGACCCUACAAUGGUCCUGUACGGCUGAUUCUAAAGCUCAACAUCCCACUCAGCCGGAGUCACCACAGUGACCUAUGCGGCCCUGCCGGAGUCACCAACUAUGACCUGUACGGCACUACACUGCACAUCACUCGGAACUACGUAUAGUAGUCUAUACGAUGAAAGGUGUAUAAAUACGCUCUAGUGCUUCUCUCAUCAAUCAUCAGCGUGCAUAACUAAGGUCACCCACUAGUCGGAAUCACAUCUAGUGAUCUAUACGACUAGCAUGUCGGAACCCUCACAUGGUCUGUACGACAUCCACCUACUUGGAUCCAAGACGAGCAUGCGGUGUGGUGAAUAAUAAUAUAAGCACUAACACCUAGGGUGCAGGUUAUGAGCUUUCAAUGCAAUUCUCAUAAAAUAACUCAUCUGAAUAAUAUAAAAACUCACUUGUGCGUCCACCGCUUCAAUUAACAUAUAUAUGCAUCCAUUAUCAAACUAAAUAUUUCAACACUUGCAUGCAUGGCAAUUUAAAUCAUAAUUUUCAUAUAAACUCAUUUUCUGGGAAAAACAGUUGUAUAUAGGUAAUACGAAAACAAAACUGCCCACUCACUGAUAAGUCGAUGGGUCGUAACCCCCGUGACGUCCCUGGAUGCGCUAGUCCUCGGGAUAAGUGUCACCUAUAUGCGAAACAACUAUAAAAAUGUUAAUUUAAACACAUAACCAACAAUUCGAAAUAACUUCUCAUACGAUGCUCAAAUUGGGUAUAUGAAUACCACAUUGACCUACUCGACGUCACGGACGUCGGGAAAUUUGUAGAUUAAUUUUUUGGUGUCGCACGUGCCCCCACGCGCCAGGGAACGCACAGACACACGCGCCCCCCAUGCGCGUCAUCUUCCCCAGCCAGUCGCCGGACUGGUUUUUCCGGCGACCGGUUUCCGGCCAAACUUGUAACUUCUUGUUCUCCUUCGUUUCUCAACCGUUUUCUUCGAAUUUUAUAUCAAACUGAAGUCCCAACCAUGAAGAAUCACGAUGGACUAGUUUUAGGGUCUAAAAUUCACUAUAUUUUACCUGGGGAAGCACGAUAGUUCGGGAAACUUUGAGGACUUCGUUCUCGGUCCUCCGACGUCCAAUUAUCACCAACGAAGCACUCCGAGGCUCGUGAGGAUGUCCUUAAGCUCACUGUGAGCUUGAAAUUCCCUGAAACGUAAGAAUUUACGUGUGCAUGAACAGUGCACAAUUUUGGGGUUAGGGUUUCCCGACGAUCCCGAGGGUUUCAC